GUUGAUUUGAGACAGGAAUUAUCAAUACCCGUCUCAGAUCAUCCUCCGCAGGGUGCGCCCACUUUCACGCCGCCUCGCCGAGGGC
rnacentral:sRNA from 1 species